UGCCUGUUCGAGCGUCAUUUCAACCCUCAAGCUCUGCUUGGUGUUGGGCCCUGCCCCUGCGGCCGGCCCUAAAGUCAGUGGCGGUGCCGUCUGGCUCUAAGCGUAGUACAUCUCUCGCUCUAGAGUCCUGCGGUAGCCUGCCAGAACCCCAAACUUCUAUGGUUGACCUCGGAUCAGGUAGGGAUACCCGCUGAACUUAA
rnacentral:misc_RNA from 1 species